ACCCUGGCGUUGUAAACGGCAUGCUCUACCAAAUGAGCUACACGGGGCCAACUACCUAGGACGAUGGACCAAUAGGACCUCUAGCUAACUAACUCUAACAACAAGACAAGUCACUAGGUCAAGUGAAGUUGUUUGAAACUCAGUUAUGCUCUACAGUGGUUGUCUUAUGUAAAAGUUGAGGACAUGUAUUUUUUUUACUAAAAGACCCAAGCUAUCUAGUCACCUUUUUCUUCCCAGUAUGUAGCCUACUGACAUUCACCUUGAUUUCACCUUUUACACAGGCAAGCAACAUGUCAUUUGCCAGUCUGUCCAGAGGAAAGGUGGCCCAAUCUUCGUUGGGUGUGUUGACUGCAGGAGGGGCAGAAUUGCUCUGAUGCUUCACCAGUCUGUGAAAGCCUCAGAUCUGGAGCUUCACCCACCAUCUUACCCAUGUACUCACAGUGGCAUGCUGUCAUCUCUUGAUCAUGCCAGUAUCCGACUUGGAUAUCAGGUGUACAAGCAGGUGUGUUCUGCCUGUCAUAGUAUGGAAUACCUGGCCUUCCGAAACCUUGUAGGAGUCUCGCACACAGAGGCUGAAGUCAAGGUGCAUGCUGAAGAGGCACCUCAGCCACUAUGAGCCAGGUGGCCAAAGAUGUCUGCACCUUCCUGAGGUGGACAACGGAACCUGAGCACGAUCAGAGGAAGCGAAUGGGACUGAAACUACUCAUGUGGUCUGCAAUCUUGGUACCAUUGGUCUAUUACAUGAAGAGACACAGGUGCUCAGUUUUGAAGAGCCGGAAGAUAGAUAGCAUACAGACCACCAAAAUAAGACAACACAACUUCAUCCACUGCUUUCAAUCACUACCGGUAUACUCCUCACAGGAUUAUUGACUUAAUUAUUCCAGUUUCUGUAAUCUACCCCCAUUUCACCCUCUGACAUUUAGUGAGGUAUUAUUUUUAUUUUUUUACUGUGGUCAACAAUUUCAAGGGUUUUUUCCAGGUCUUUUGAGGUCAGGCUUCAUGAUUGACAGCACUGAAUCAAUAUAGGACCGUUGUUAGGAAAACUGGUCCAUUAUCUCACAAACAUUCUGUACACGUUAUGUGUAAAUACUUAACAUACACAUGUGUAAUCAAUAAAAUGCAUUUCCAAUUACUAGAUUGUUGUUUUUGGGGGUAAGGAAGGGGAGGGUGAUUAAUUACAUUAUAAUCCCGAUGGUUAAGUAUUCACCUCGGAUUUUUACACAAUUUGUAGCGUUUCAAAGUGGGAUUGAAAUAGAUGGGUUUUCUUUUGUCAUUGAUCUACAAAAAAUACUCAAUGUCAAAGUGGGGAAGAAAAUCUACAAUUUUACAAAUUAAUACAAAUGUAAUAAUUAAAAUAUAGUUGUUCAGGAGUAAAAAUGUUGAUGAACAUAUCACAUAAAUUACAUGGACUCACUGUGAGAUAAUAGGGGUAGACAUCAUUGUUUAAUGACUACCCCUUCCUUUGUCCCCUAUAUAUAUACACAUCUGUAAGGUCCCUAAGUCAAGUAUUGCAUUUCAAGCACAGAUUCA